UGAACGCUGGCGGCAGGCCCAACACAUGCAAGUCGAGCGGUAACAGAUCCAGCUUGCUGGAUGCUGACGAGCGGCGGACGGGUGAGUAAUGCAUAGGAAUCUGCCCGAUAGUGGGGGAUAACCUGGGGAAACCCAGGCUAAUACCGCAUACGUCCUACGGGAGAAAGGGGGCUCCGGCUCCCGCUAUGGGAUGAGCCUAUGUCGGAUUAGCUAGUUGGUGAGGUAAUGGCUCACCAAGGCAACGAUCCGUAGCUGGUCUGAGAGGAUGAUCAGCCACAUCGGGACUGAGACACGGCCCGAGCUCCUACGGGAGGCAGCAGUGGGGAAUAUUGGACAAUGGGCGAAAGCCUGAUCCAGCCAUGCCGCGUGUGUGAAGAAGGCCCUCGGGUUGUAAAGCACUUUCAGCGAGGAAGAACGCCUAGCGGUUAAUACCCGCUAGGAAAGACAUCACUCGCAGAAGAAGCACCGGCUAACUCCGAGCCAGCAGCCGCGGUAAUACGGAGGGUGCAAGCGUUAAUCGGAAUUACUGGGCGUAAAGCGCGCGUAGGUGGCUUGAUAAGCCGGUUGUGAAAGCCCCGGGCUCAACCUGGGAACGGCAUCCGGAACUGUCAAGCUAGAGUGCAGGAGAGGAAGGUAGAAUUCCCGGUGUAGCGGUGAAAUGCGUAGAGAUCGGGAGGAAUACCAGUGGCGAGGGCGGCCUUCUGGACUGACACUGACACUGAGGUGCGAAAGCGUGGGUAGCAAACAGGAUUAGAUACCCUGGUAGUCCACACCGUAAACGC
rnacentral:rRNA from 1 species